rnacentral:rRNA from 1 species
UACAGAGGUCUCGAGCGUUAGGCGGAAUCACUGGGCUUAAAGCGUGUGUAGGUGGAUCGUUAAGUACCUUGUGAAAUCCCACGGCUUAACCGUGGGACUGCUUGGUAUACUGGCGGUCUUGAGCCAGCUAGGGGCUACCGGAACAAAUGGUGGAGCGGUGAAAUGCGUAGAUAUCAUUUGGAACGCCAAUGGUGAAAACAGGUAGCUGGGGCUGUGCUGACACUGAGACACGAAAGCCAGGGGAGCAAACGGG